UACGUAGGGGGCAAGCGUUGUCCGGAAUCAUUGGGCGUAAAGCGCGUGUAGGCGGCCCGGUAAGUCCGCUGUGAAAGUCGGGGGCUCAACCCUCGGAUGCCGGUGGAUACUGUCGGGCUAGAGUGCGGGAGAGGCGAGUGGAAUUCCUGGUGUAGCGGUGAAAUGCGCAGAUAUCAGGAGGAACACCGACGGCGAAGGCAGCACUCUGGGCCGGUACUGACGCUGAGGAGCGAAAGCAUGGGGAGCGAACGGG
rnacentral:rRNA from 1 species